rnacentral:sRNA from 7 species
UUGAGUGCAUUAGAAACUGAUGUUUUCUACCCACAAAAACAAUACCUCAGGGGCAGUCAUAAUAGAAGGAUUCACACACAAGUCUGUCAGAAUAUCCUCACAUCUCUUCUGAUUGAUUAUCCCUUGAAGUAAGGAAAUACAUCAGUCUCUAUGCUAACUCAAUCCAUGGUUCCA